rnacentral:rRNA from 1 species
GUGUCAGCAGCCGCGGUAAUACGUAGGGGCCUAGCGUUGUCCGGAUUUAUUGGGCGUAAAGAGCUCGUAGGCGGCUUGGUUAGUCAGGUGUGAAAUCUCCACGCUCAACGUGGAGGGGCCACCUGAUACUGCCAUGGCUUGAGUCCGGUAGGGGAGUGUGGAAUUCCCGGUGUAGCGGUGAAAUGCGCAGAUAUCGGGAGGAACACCCGUAGCGAAGGCGGCACUCUGGGCCGGUACUGACGCUGAGGAGCGAAAGCGUGGGGAGCAAACAGGAUUAGAAACCCGCGUAGUCC